rnacentral:rRNA from 1 species
ACGCACGCUGGCGGCGUGCUUAACACAUGCAAGUCGAACGGAAAGGCCCUGCUUUUGUGGGGUGCUCGAGUGGCGAACGGGUGAGUAACACGUGAGUAACCUGCCCUUGACUUUGGGAUAACUUCAGGAAACUGGGGCUAAUACCGGAUAGGAGCUCCUGCUGCAUGGUGGGGGUUGGAAAGUUUCGGCGGUUGGGGAUGGACUCGCGGCUUAUCAGCUUGUUGGUGGGGUAGUGGCUUACCAAGGCUUUCACGGGUAGCCGGCCUGAGAGGGUGACCGGCCACAUUGGGACUGAGAUACGGCCCAGACUCCUACGGGAGGCAGCAGUGGGGAAUAUUGCACAAUGGGCGGAAGCCUGAUGCAGCAACGCCGCGUGCGGGAUGACGGCCUUCGGGUUGUAAACCGCUUUCGCCUGUGACGAAGCGUGAGUGACGGUAAUGGGUAAAGAAGCACCGGCUAACUACGUG